UAAUCGUUCCAAAAUACUGCACAAGAAAACCAUAGUUGACAAAAUGAUUCGAAUACCGAUAUUUAUCUUCAUUCUUCUAUUGGUUGUUGGUGAUCUUCAAGCAAGUCUAAUUGACGGCAAUGCAUUGCAGAAAAAUCUUCUUCGAUUAAAACGCUAUGGUAGGAAAUAUAAGAUGCCGAGUCACACCGGUAGUCAAAGUGCAACAGUCGACAUCAAUCUGUGUGUUAACUGUAAUAACAAAUAUUACAAGUCGC